rnacentral:rRNA from 1 species
UACGGAGGGUGCAAACGUUGCUCGGAAUUAUUGGGCGUAAAGCGCACGUAGGCGGCUAUUCAAGUCGGGGGUGAAAGCCCGGGGCUCAACCCCGGAACAGCCCUCGAAACUAGAUAGCUAGAAUCUUGGAGAGGUCAGUGGAAUUCCGAGUGUAGAGGUGAAAUUCGUAGAUAUUCGGAAGAACACCAGUGGCGAAGGCGACUGACUGGACAAGUAUUGACGCUGAGGUGCGAAAGCGUGGGGAGCAAACAGG